GAUUUUCCCACUCUUUCUGUUUAAGUAAUUUGUAAAAAACUACCAUAGACUUAACAGUCUAAAACAAGUUUACUCAUUUCUGGCUCUGGUGGGCAGAGGUCUACAAUGAAGUGUUCACAGGCCUGUUCUCUUUCAAGAAUCAAUUUGUUGGCUUUUCCAAUUGCAUUCUUUGAUUUGAGGCCCCUUUCUCCUUCAAAACACAUCACUUAAUCGUUUUGCCAUCACAUCUCCAUCUGUCUGAUAUGGAUCCUCUGUUCCUCUUUACAGUGUGAUCGCAUUGGGCCACUUGGACAAUCUUGGAGUCUCCCCAUCUCACGAUCCUUAACUGCAUUACAUUUGCAAAGACCCUUCUACCAUGUAAAGCAACAUAUUCAUGGGCUCUGAGAAUUGGGAAGUGGAUAUAUUUGGGGAAGUCGAUUUUUAUCCUACCAGAGAUUUGCAUCCUGUACAUUUUGAAUGUUUAGAAACAAGAUUUCUAAACUCUGCUAAAGUCUACUGGAAAAAAUGGAUUUGUUUGUUAAGCAGGCUCAUGGCUGCGGCUUGUCCAGGAUGCACUCAGAAGAGAUUAAAAAGGGGAAAAAUGAGGAGACCACCCACAUCUUCUGCCCCAGAAGGGUCCCUCCUUCCAGUCUUCUGAGCAGAAAAGGAAAGUUUCUCCUGGAGCUUUCUCCAUCAGUGCCUGCUGUGCAAUUCUGGGAUUUGGGCCACCUGGAGACUGAGCUGGGAGAAUUGAAAGCUAAAGAAAAU
ensembl:lncRNA